AGCGCGGGCUACGCCCCCUCACCUCCCAGCUCCUUAGGUUGGAGGCUCCCACCUGCGCGAAGCAUUUGGUACCCAGGUGGGAAUGGAGGGCAUUCGAUGGGCGGAGAUGGGAGGGCUGGAAAUUGACAGGGUGAGAAUUGGGGAGACUAAUCCCUCCCCCUUCGGUCCCCGCUCUUCACUCACCCCCUGGUUGAGGGCCUGGGCCUUUGCAUAAUGUUGACGCGCCUGGAGAGGAGGGUGCUUCCCAACGGCUCCUGUUCGACCCCCAACCCCGGGCCAAGGGCACGGAGAGAAGCUGGGGCGGGGGACCAGCGGGAGGAGAAAGAGCACACCAUAUGACAGGCUUCUGGAAACAGAUCCCAUGCCAACUUGGAUUCUGUCCUUCUCUCCAAUAAAAGGAACUUUUCGCUUGUG